UACGUAGGCAGCGAGCGUUGUUCGGAGUUACUGGGCGUAAGGGUGUGUAGGCGGUUGUUUAAGUUUGGUGUGAAUCUCCCGGCUCAACUGGGAGGGUGCGCCGAAUACUGGAGUGGCUAGAGUGUGGGAGAGGAAAGUGGAAUUCCUGGUGUAGCGGUGAAAUGCGUAGAUAUCAGGAGGAACACCAAUGGCGAAGGCAGCUCUCUGGGACGGUACUGACACUGGAGACGCGAAAGCGUGGGAGCGAACAGG
rnacentral:rRNA from 1 species